rnacentral:rRNA from 1 species
UGGGGAAUAUUGGACAAUGGGGGGAACCCUGAUCCAGCCAUGCCGCGUGUGUGAAGAAGGCCUUAUGGUUGUAAAGCACUUUAAGCGAGGAGGAGGCUCUUUUGGUUAAUACCCAAGAUGAGUGGACGUUACUCGCAGAAUAAGCACCGGCUAACUCUGUGCCAGCAGCCGCGGUAAUACAGAGGGUGCGAGCGUUAAUCGGAUUUACUGGGCGUAAAGCGUGCGUAGGCGGCUUUUUAAGUCGGAUGUGAGAUCCCCGAGCUUAACUUGGGAAUUGCAUUCGAUACUGGGAAGCUAGAGUAUGGGAGAGGAUGGUAGAAUUCCAGGUGUAGCGGUGAAAUGCGUAGAGAUCUGGAGGAAUACCGAUGGCGAAGGCAGCCAUCUGGCCUAAUACUGACGCUGAGGUACGAAAAG